GGCGAACGCUGGCGGCGUGCUUAACACAUGCAAGUCGAGCGAGGCCCCUCCUUCGGGAGGGUGUCCUAGCGGCGAACGGGUGAGUAACACGUGGGCAACCUGCCCUCAGCUCUGGGAUAACUCCGGGAAACCGGGGCUAAUACCGGAUACGACCUCCACGGGCAUCUGCGGAGGUGGAAAGUUUUUCGGCUGAGGAUGGGCCCGCGGCCUAUCAGCUAGUUGGUGGGGUAGUGGCCCACCAAGGCGACGACGGGUAGCCGGCCUGAGGGGGCGACCGGCCACACUGGGACUGAGACACGGCCCAGACUCCUACGGGAGGCAGCAGUGGGGAAUAUUGCGCAAUGGGCGAAAGCCUGACGCAGCGACGCCGCGUGAGGGACGAAGGCCUUCGGGUUGUAAACCUCUUUCAGCAGGGACGAAGCGAAAGUGACGGUACCUGCAGAAGAAGCACCGGCCAACUACGUG
rnacentral:rRNA from 1 species